rnacentral:rRNA from 1 species
AGAGUUUGAUCCUGGCUCAGGAUGAACGCUGGCAGCGUGCCUAACACAUGCAAGUCGAGCGAUUUACUUCGGUAAAGAGCGGCGGACGGGUGAGUAACGCGUGGGUAACCUGCCCUGUACACACGGAUAACAUACCGAAAGGUAUGCUAAUACGAGAUAAUAUGCUUUUAUCGCAUGGUAGAAGUAUCAAAGUUUUUGCGGUACAGGAUGGGCCCGCGUCUGAUUAGCUAGUUGGUAAGGUAACGGCUUACCAAGGCGACGAUCAGUAGCCGACCUGAGAGGGUGAUCGGCCACAUUGGAACUGAGACACGGUCCAAACUCCUACGGGAGGCAGCAGUGGGGAAUAUUGCACAAUGGGCGAAAGCCUGAUGCAGCAACGCCGCGUGAGCGAUGAAGGCCUUCGGGUCGUAAAGCUCUGUCCUCAAGGAAGAUAAUGACGGUACUUGAGGAGGAAGCCCCGGCUAACUACGUGCCAGCAGCCGCGGUAAUACGUAGGGGGCUAGCGUUAUCCGG